ensembl:lncRNA CDKN2B-AS1 CDKN2B antisense RNA 1
GCUGUCGACCCGGCCUGGCGCCGGACUAGUGUCCCUUUUGAUGAGAAGAAUAAGCCUCAUUCUGAUUCAACAGCAGAGAUCAAAGAAAAGACUUCUGUUUUCUGGCCACCAGAUAUAUGUUAUCUGUGCUUAAAGAAUUGAAAAACACACAUCAAAGGAGAAUUUUCUUGGAAAGAGAGGGUUCAAGCAUCACUGUUAGGUGUGCUGGAAUCCUUUCCCGAGUCAGUACUGCUUUCUAGAAGAAAACCGGGGAGAUCUAUUUGGAAUGUAUCUAACUCCAAAGAAACCAUCAGAGGUAACAGUAGAGACGGGGUUUCACCAUGUUGGCCAGACUGGUCUUGAACUCUCGACCUCGUGAUUCGCCCGCCUCGGCCUCCCAAAGUGCUGGGAUUACAGGUGUGAGACACCACACCCGGCGGAUAGAGAGAAUUUUGACAGAUGUAGUGUCACUCUGUCGCCCAGGCUGGAGUGCAGUGGCGUGAUCUCGGCUCACUGCAACCUCUGCUACCCAGGUUCAAGCGAUUCUCCUGCCUCAGCCUCCCAAGGAGCUGGGAUUGCAGGCACCUGCCACCACGCCCAGCUAAUUUUUGUAGUUUUGGUAGAGAUGGUGUUUCACCAUUUUGGCCAGGCUGGUCUUAAACUCCUGACCUUGUGAUCCACCUGCCUUCGCCUCCCAAAGUGCUGGUAUUACAGGCAUGAGCCACUGUGCCCAGCCUAAAUGUUUUCUUUAAAAGCAAGGUAAGUAUGCCUAGAUGCACUGCCUCUUAGUAAUUUUUGAGGAUGGAUUAUUCAUUAAAUUGCUUCCCUUUCUCACAGCUGGUGAAUUAGAACGAUAGUGAGCUUACAAGAGCUUUAACGAGGAAAAGAUGGUCAUUGUUUAACAGAGAAGGAUGGUUUGGGUGAGCAUUUUUGUGUUUUUGGAGGGGAACUUUGAGGGCAAUGAGUGUUGCACCUGUGUCCACUGAGGAUCUCUGGGCGGGGUAAAAGGAAGGCAGGGAUGAGAGUGAGGAAGGGAGACAGGAGGGUCCCAAAUACGAACUUUGACUUAACGAGGAUGAUUACUAGAAGGGAAAGAUUGUGGAUUCAUUGAUGAGAUGUUGAACCAUGAAAACUCUAAUUGUAGAACUCACUUCAGACUGAAUUGACUUGGCUUUCAGUAGCAGAAGCCCUUUGUCUACUUCUCUAGUAUUGAAGUGAAUGCAAAUUUCUCAAUGUAAGAAAAGUAGAGUGGUGAAAUAAGAGUGUGGGUUCCAGGGUCAGACAACUGGGUGCAUAAAAAGGGUAAGGAUGCUACAACUGGUAAGCCCUGUGAGAAUUAUUUAAUCCUUCCAUGUCUCAUUCCGCUCAUCUGGAAAAUGAUGAUCAUACUAACUUAUGAGAUGUGUGUACAGACUAGAUAUAAUAUUAAAACAUUUCUGAUACCUAUGCAUUAUAUUGGA